rnacentral:rRNA from 1 species
CAGCAGCCGCCGCGGUAAUACGGAGGGUGCAAGCGUUAUCCGGAUUUAUUGGGUUUAAAGGGUCCGUAGGCGGAUCUGUAAGUCAGUGGUGAAAUCUCACAGCUUAACUGUGAAACUGCCAUUGAUACUGCAGGUCUUGAGUAAAUUUGAAGUGGCUGGAAUAAGUAGUGUAGCGGUGAAAUGCAUAGAUAUUACUUAGAACACCAAUUGCGAAGGCAGGUCACUAAGAUUUAACUGACGCUGAUGGACGAAAGCGUGGGGAGCGAACAGGAUUAGAUACCCCAGUAGUCCCUGUCUCUUAUAC